rnacentral:rRNA from 1 species
CCCUUAGAUGUUCUGGGCCGCACGCGCGCUACACUGACGAAUGCAACGAGCUUAUAACCUUGGCCGAAAGGUCUGGGUAAUCUCCAAAUUUCGUCGUGAUGGGGAUAGAUUAUUGCAAUUAUUAUUCUUCAACGAGGAAUGCCUAGUAAGCGCAAGUCAUCAGCUUGCGUUGAUUACGUCCCUGCCCUUUGUACACACCGCCCGUCGCUCCUACCGAUUGAAUGGUCCGGUGAAGCGUUCGGACCGUGGCCUUUGGACGGUUCGCCGUCUGUUGGCUGCGGGAAGUUCGUUAAACCUUAUCAUUUAGAGGAAGGAGAAGUCGUAACA